rnacentral:rRNA from 1 species
CCUACGGGAGGCAGCAGUGAGGAAUAUUGGACAAUGGGCGCAAGCCUGAUCCAGCCAUGCCGCGUGCAGGAAGACGGUCCUAUGGAUUGUAAACUGCUUUUGUACAGGAAGAAACACUCCCUCGUGAGGGAGCUUGACGGUACUGUAAGAAUAAGGAUCGGCUAACUCCGUGCCAGCAGCCGCGGUAAUACGGAGGAUCCAAGCGUUAUCCGGAAUCAUUGGGUUUAAAGGGUCCGUAGGCGGUUUAAUAAGUCAGUGGUGAAAUCUGGUCGCUCAACGAUCAAACGGCCAUUGAUACUGUUAGACUUGAAUUAUUAGGAAGUAACUAGAAUAUGUAGUGUAGCGGUGAAAUGCUUAGAUAUUACAUGGAAUACCAAUUGCGAAGGCAGGUUACUACUAAUGGAUUGACGCUGAUGGACGAAAGCGUGGGGAGCGAACAGGAUUAGAUACCCUGGUAGUCCACGCCGUAAACGAUGGAUACUAGCUGUUGGGCGCAAGUUCAGUGGCUAAGCGAAAGUGAUAAGUAUCCACCUGGGGAGUAACGUUGCAAGAAUGAAACUUCAAAGGAAUUGACGG